rnacentral:rRNA from 1 species
GGAAUAUUCCACAAUGGGGGAAACCCUGAUGGAGCGACGCCGCGUGAGUGAAGAAGGGCUUCGGCUCGUAAAGCUCUUUUCUCGUUGACGAAUUAGCCUUCGGGGCAGUUGACGGUAUCCAACCAGAAAGCCACGGCUAACUACGUGCCAGCAGCCGCGGUAAUACGUAGGUGGCAAGCGUUAUCCGGAUUUAUUGGGCGUAAAGCGAGCGCAGGCGGUUUCUUAAGUCUGAUGUGAAAGCCUUCGGCUUAACCGAAGAAGUGCAUCGGAAACUGGGAAACUUGAGUGCAGAAGAGGACAGUGGAACUCCAUGUGUAGCGGUGAAAUGCGUAGAUAUAUGGAAGAACACCAGUGGCGAAGGCGGCUGUCUGGUCUGUAACUGACGCUGAGGCUCGAAAGCAUGGGUAGCGAACA